rfam:Marinitoga piezophila KA3, complete genome.
GGCUGGGUCCCGCGCAACGGGAACCCGCGAACCUGGUCAGGCCCGGAAGGGAGCAGCCAUAAGCGGUACUUCCUGUGUGCCGCGGGGGUGCCCAGCCAUC